CGGGAUGUGGCGCAGCUUGGUAGCGCGGCGGCUUUGGGAGCCGAAGGUCGCAGGUUCAAAGCCUGCCAUCCCGA
rnacentral:tRNA from 5 species